UACGUAGGGGGCAAGCGUUGUCCGGAAUCAUUGGGCGUAAAGCGCGUGUAGGCGGUCCGGUAAGUCCGCUGUGAAAGUCGGGGGCUCAACCCUCGGAUGCCGGUGGAUACUGUCGGGCUUGAGUACGGAAGAGGCGAGUGGAAUUCCUGGUGUAGCGGUGAAAUGCGCAGAUAUCGGGAAGAACACCCGUGGCGAAGGCGGCUCUCUGGGACGGUACUGACGCUGAGACGCGAAAGCGUGGGGAGCGAACAGG
rnacentral:rRNA from 1 species